rnacentral:rRNA from 1 species
UGGGGAAUUUUGGACAAUGGGGGAAACCCUGAUCCAGCCAUCCCGCGUGUGCGAUGAAGGCCUUCGGGUUGUAAAGCACUUUUGGCAGGAAAGAAACGUCAUGGGUUAAUACCCCGUGAAACUGACGGUACCUGCAGAAUAAGCACCGGCUAACUACGUGCCAGCAGCCGCGGUAAUACGUAGGGUGCAAGCGUUAAUCGGAAUUACUGGGCGUAAAGCGUGCGCAGGCGGUUCGGAAAAAAAGAUGUGAAAUCCCAGAGCUCAACUUUGGAACUGCAUUUUUAACUACCGGGCUAGAGUGUGUCAGAGGGAGGUGGAAUUCCGCGUGUAGCAGUGAAAUGCGUAGAUAUGCGGAGGAACACCGAUGGCAAAGGCAGCCUCCUGGGAUAACACUGACGCUCAUGCACGAAAGCGUGGGGAGCAAACAGG